rnacentral:rRNA from 1 species
UCUCAUGGAGAGUUCGAUCCUGGCUCAGGAUGAACGCUGGCGGCAUGCUUCACACAUGCAAGGUGGA